GCCCAAAGACUAAAGUGAACAAUGUACUCAUCUUUAGUCAUACCUCCAUUACCAACCUCGAGCAUGUCAGGAUCGUUCCAGCCACCGGGCCUUGCGAAAUCAGCAUAUACUUCAUUGAGGUCUGCUCUAGAUAUCAUACUCUCCCACGAAUCAUUGAUGUCGUUAGUAGUUCUCCAGCUGUUUCCUAACUUAUCGCCCCACAAAGCAGGGUGCAGG
rnacentral:misc_RNA from 1 species